UUAAUAGAGAGAGUUGCCAAUCAAAAAAAGGAGAGAGUAUAGAUUCUAGAGGAAGUUGAGUUGAUUGAAAGAGAUGCAAUGGCUAUGUUGCACUAGAUUGGUAUUGACAGAUUUAAGCUACACAAGUAUUUUAGAAGAGGUAGUGAAGUGAAGGCAUUUCUACCAGAGUAGAUCAAAGCAAUGGUAUUUUAGGGAUGUAGAGAUAGUUUGGUAGCAAUGACGAUAGGACUUGGCUUAGAAGUUGACAACCAUAGUAAAUCAACCAUAAUUUGCUAGGUUGUUGUGAAGUAGUAGUUGAUUUUCUAUAGUAGUUAGACAAUAAAUUUUAAAGAGUUCUUAUGCAUAUUUUUAUUAUACAUAUUUAUGCAUAAUAAUAGAUAAUUGUGAUUAAUAUUUUAAUAUGGUUAUUUUUUUGCUGAAGAAUGUGAUGCAUAUAAAAACUUUCAUAAGCUGAUUAUUGCAUAGUUUAAAUAAAUAAUUAAUUAAAUAAAAUA
rnacentral:lncRNA from 1 species